rnacentral:rRNA from 1 species
UUCGGGUCGGUGCACAGGUGGUGCAUGGUUGUCGUCAGCUCGUGUCGUGAGAUGUUGGGUUAAGUCCCGCAACGAGCGCAACCCUCGUCCCAUGUUGCCAGCGGGUCGUGCCGGGGACUCAUGGGAGACUGCCGGGGUCAACUCGGAGGAAGGUGGGGAUGACGUCAAAUCAUCAUGCCCCUUAUGUCUUGGGCUUCACGCAUGCUACAAUGGCCGGUACAGAGGGCUGCGAUACCGCGAGGUGGAGCGAAUCCCUAAAAGCCGGUCUCAGUUCGGAUCGGGGUCUGCAACUCGACCCCGUGGAGUCGGAGUCGCUAGUAAUCGCAGAUCAGCAACGCUGCGGUGAAUACGUUCCC